UGCAACUUCACUUAUAAAUGAAAAUCAGAUGGAGAUUGACAGCCCUGGAGGUGGGCGAGCACUUGGGAGUCUGAACAAAUGCGGCCUCUCUGAGGAUGCUCGACCACAUCAGCCAGCCGUGCUCCUUGCAGAGACCCGCCACCAUUCGGUGCCCUCGGGCUGAUUUCUUUUGGAGAUCUAUUUACAAAUGGAGAAUUGGAAGAGUCAGAGUUUUUCUAGCCAGAGGUAGAAAUGUGUAGGUCUUGGCUCUCAGUAAGCUUCUUGGGGGAACUGAUUAAGCUGUAGGCUAGGACUGUAUGAGUGAGUAUGUACCAGGGAGGGGAGGAGGACGGGUUAAGGAAGGAAGAGGGGAGGAAGUCUGGCCUGCGAGAAAUCUGGAGAGACGCCUAGAAUAGAUUAGAGUUUUCGUCCUUGCGUUUUAAUUUGCCUUGCGUU
rnacentral:lncRNA from 1 species